UACAGAGGGUGCGAGCGUUAAUCGGAAUUACUGGGCGUAAAGGGCGCGUAGGCGGUUGUGUGAGUGUGAUGUGAAAGCCCUGGGCUUAACCUAGGAAGUGCAUCGCAAACGACAUAACUGGAGUAUAAGAGAGGGUGGCGGAAUUUCCGGUGUAGCGGUGAAAUGCGUAGAGAUGUGGAGGAACACCAGUGGCGAAGGCGACACGCUGGGCCGUACCUGACACUGAUGCGCGACAGCAUGGGGAGCAAACAGG
rnacentral:rRNA from 1 species